UACGUAGGGGCCUAGCGUUGUCCGGAUUUAUUGGGCGUAAAGAGCUCGUAGGCGGUUCGGCAAGUCGGAUGUGAAAUCUCCACGCUCAACGUGGAGGCGCCAUUCGAUACUGCCGUGCUUGAGGACUGGAGAGGAGACUGGAAUUUACGGUGUAGCGGUGAAAUGCGUAGAUAUCGUAAGGAAGACCAGUGGCGAAGGCGGGUCUCUGGACAGUUCCUGACGCUGAGGCACGAAGGCCAGGGGAGCAAACGGG
rnacentral:rRNA from 1 species